UGUCUUCAAAUCAAUAUCUGUGUUACCUCUUUAGGUAUUCCUUCGAACAAGAUGCAAAAAUAACUGAAUAUGAAAGCCCUUCUACAAGUGAUUAGCCUAGUCGUAAUUAGCGUGGUGGUGAUUAUUAUCCCACCGUGCGGGGCUGCACUUGGACGAGGAAAGGCUUAAAAAACAAGCCUUAACGAACUAAGACCCCCGCACCGAAAGGUCCGGGGGUUUUUUUAUGACUUAAAAACUUAAACGAGGAACAGAUAAUGAUGACUAGCAUAAAAUACUGUUUCUCUCG
rnacentral:sRNA from 1 species